CCUACGGGAGGCAGCAGUCGGGAAUAUUGCGCAAUGGAGGAAACUCUGACGCAGUGACGCCGCGUGCAGGAAGAAGGUUUUCGGAUUGUAAACUGCUUUAGACAGGGAAGCAACACGACAGUACCUGUACACUACGCUCCGGCUAACUACGUGCCAGCACCCGCGGUAAUACGUAGGGAGCAAGCGUUAUCCGGAUUUAUUGGGUGUAAAGGGUGCGUAGACGGGAAGUCAAGUUGGUUGUGAAAUCCCUCGGCUUAACUGAGGAACUGCAACCAAAACUAACUUUCUUGAGUGCUGGAGAGGAAAGUGGAAUUCCUAGUGUAGCGGUGAAAUGCGUAGAUAUUAGGAGGAACACCAGUGGCGAAGGCGACUUGCUGGACAGUAACUGACGUUGAGGCACGAAAGUGUGGGGAGCGAACAGGAUUAGAUACCCUUGUAGUC
rnacentral:rRNA from 1 species